CCCGUUCAGAAAGGAAAGCCUGCGCCCGUGACUGGGGUUGCCGGUGGCAAUGGGGGUUCGCAGCCGCCGCCGUCGCAAGAAUGGUCGGAGGGACGCGUCGCCGGCGGCCACGCACCGCCUUCCCGACGAGCUGAUCGAGUUAGUAUUCCUGCGCCUCCCUUCCUCUCUCCAACUCGUCCGUGCCGCUUGCACCUGCAAGCAGUGGCGCCGCGUCGUCGCCGACGGCGGCUUCCUCCGCCGAUUCUGUUCUCUCCACCCGCACGCCCCCGUCGUCGGACACUACCGCGUCGAAGAUCGCACGUAUGCGUUUCCGCGUCCACCUGGCUGCAACCCCGUCUUCUUCCCCUCGUCGCCCUCGCCACCGGCGGACGCCUUAGACGCGCGGCACUUCUCGCUCGAUUUCCUCACGGACGGCGCUGGUGCAGACUGGGAGCUCGCCGAAAGUCGGAACUUCCAUUGUUGACCAGCAUCCACUACGCAGGGCACGCAUCAGACUGGAUCUACUGGAUGGUGACCGCAGACCACAGUUUUCUUGUACUCCCUCCGUUCCUAAAUGAACGGAGGGAAUACUCGACAAGGACACCGCAGAGUUCUCCAUUUCCUGUUUCCCGGACGACAUGUGCACUGUGCCAGACGAGGCCACCAGGAUCCGGGUCGUCGGCGGCGAGGACGGUGCUGCGGUGCACAUCGCCGUCCUGACCAAAUACUUCCUGGAGGUCUUCGUGCAAGCGGAAGACAGCGGCAAAUGGGUGUCGAAGACAAGGUUCUCAUUGUCGCAGGCGAUUCGUGAGCUGUUUGGGGACAAGAUCAAGAAACCUCACAUCACCGUCACUUGCUGAGUAUAAAGUGUAAUAUCAUAGGCAUAGUGUCGGUCUAUAGGACUCUACUGUCGCGGUCUAUAGGACUCUACUGUCGCCGAUUUGUCGUUUUUUUCCAUUCAUUUUGUCAGACUUUCCGUGUUGGGCUGUGUGCAUCCUAGUUAUGCAGAGGCCGGGUGUUACUCAUAAUGUUUUGUAUCCGCUUGAUGCUACAUUUCGAGAUAAUAAAAGCGCCCUUUAUCGAAAAAAAAAUAGUUCACUCUGCUAUUAGUUCAGAUUUCAGAGAACCUUGCAUGGCAAUAUAGAGUGUAACAUAAUGAGCUUAUUGGAUGAUUUACCACCAAUUGUUGUAGGAAUUACCAGUAAGCAUCAUUUACUAGUAUUUCAGAUCACUUGGUGACUUGAAUUGGUAAAACAUUAUCUGAACUGUUAGGAGGUGAGCAUUUACCAAAGAAUAGGACUUGGGGGGUGGCGUGCGCCCCACUGCCUUAGGGAAUGAACUCCCCAGCCCCUUUUUACUCUGUUUC